GGAUGCUUAGCUCAGCGGGAGAGCAUCGCCCUUACAAGGCGGGGGUCGUAGGUUCGAACCCUACAGCAUCCACCA
rnacentral:tRNA from 1 species